rnacentral:misc_RNA from 1 species
GAUGAAGAACGCAGCGAAAUGCGAUAAGUAAUGUGAAUUGCAGAAUUCAGUGAAUCAUCGAAUCUUUGAACGCAUCUUGCGCUCCUUGGUAUUCUGAGGAGCAUGCCUGUUUGAGUGUCAUUAAAUUCUCAACCGCACUGACUUUGAAUUGGUGUGGCUUGGAUUUGGGGGGAAAAUUGUUGUGGGCUUUUUUGUAUAGUCUGCUCCCCUGAAAUUGAUUAGCGGUACCUUUGUGGAACUGUCUACAGGUGUGAUAAUUAUCUACAUCCUAGACAUCUGCUGGAAUGCUGCUUUCUAAACCUUACUUGUAUUGACAAUCUUGACCUCAAAUCAGGUAGGACUACCCGCUGAACUUAAGCAUAUCAUAAGCGGAGGA